CCUACGGGAUGCACCAGUGGGGAAUAUUGGACAAUGGGCGAAAGCCUGAUCCAGCAAUGCCGCGUGUGUGAAGAAGGUCUUCGGAUUGUAAAGCACUGUCGACGGGGACGAUGAUGACGGUACCCGUAGAAGAAGCCCCGGCUAACUUCGUGCCAGCAGCCGCGGUAAUACGAAGGGGGCUAGCGUUGCUCGGAAUGACUGGGCGUAAAGGGCGCGUAGGCGGUUUAUGCAGUCAGAUGUGAAAUCCCCGGGCUUAACCUGGGAACUGCAUUUGAGACGCAUAGACUAGAGGUCGAGAGAGGGUUGUGGAACUCCCAGUGUAGAGGUGAAUUUCGUAGAUAUUGGGAAGAACACCAGUGGCGAAGGCGGCAACCUGGCUCGAUACUGACGCUGAGGCGCGAAAGCGUGGGGAGCAAACAGGAUUAGAUACCCUCGUAGUC
rnacentral:rRNA from 1 species